GUGGAGGGAAGCUGUCACAGCCCGCAAGAAACUGAGGCGCCAAAUGCGGGCUUUCCCUGCUGCGCCCUGCUGCGUGGACGUGAGCGACCGGCUGAGGGCGCUGGCGCCCAGUGCAGAGUGUCCCAUUGCUGAGGAGAACCUGGCCAGGGGCCUCCUGGACCUGGGCCAUGCAGGGAGAUUGGGCAUCUCCUGCACCAGGUUAAGGCGGCUCAGAAACAAGACGGCUCACCAGAUGAAGGUUCAGCACUUCUACCAGCAGCUGCUGAGUGAUGUGGCAUGGGCGUCUCUGGACCUGCCAUCCCUUGUGGCUGAGCACCUCCCUGGGAGGCAGGAGCAUGUGUUUUGGAAGCUGGUGCUGGUGUUGCCGGAUGGAGAGGAGCAGUCCCCAGAGAGCUGUGGCAGAAUUCUAGCAAAUUGGUUAAAAGUCAAGUUCAUGGGAGAUGAAGGCUCAGUGGAUGACACAUCCAGCGAUGCUGGUGGGAUUCAGACGCUUUCGCUUUUCAACUCGCUUAGCAGCAAAGGGGAUCAGAUGAUUUCUGUUAACGUGUGUAUAAAGGUGAACUAUAAUUA
rnacentral:sRNA from 1 species